GAUGAAGAACGUAGCGAAAUGCGAUAAGUAGUGUGAAUUGCAGAAUUCAGUGAAUCAUCGAAUCUUUGAACGCACAUUGCGCCCCUUGGUAUUCCAUGGGGCAUGCCUGUUCGAGCGUCAUUUGUACCUUCAAGCUUUGCUUGGUGUUGGGUGUUUGUCCAUUCUCUUGCAGAGGGACUCGCCCUAAAGUAAUUGGCAGCCAGUGUUUUGGUUUUGAAGCGCAGCACAAGUCGCGAUUCAAAGCUAUACGCCCGCUUCCACAAGCCUUUUUCACUUUUGACCUCGGAUCAGGUAGGGAUACCCGCUGAACUUAAGCAUAUCAAUAAGCGGAGG
rnacentral:misc_RNA from 1 species